CGUGCUUUUCCACCGUUUCCCCCCCAUUGCGAGGCUAAUUAUUAUUAUUAUUAUUUAUUUUUUGGACUACAUUUAGUAGUCGCGAGCGGAAAUAAGUCAGCUGUUCGGCGCGGGCCGCUGCGAUUGGCUGAGACGCGUUUCGCGUGCACAACACAUUUCCAGCGAUAACCAGAUUCGCGCAGGCCAGGCCUCCCUUGGCCCGCGGAUCCACAUCCGAAACGUGCAGCCUGUUUUGAGGCACGGUGGCAUUUCCUGCCUCCGGUCUGGAGCUCAACUCGGCUGCAGUUCGCCCCUCCUGCAGCGACGCACCGCCAACAAACCCCGGGUCUUCUCUGUCAAAAUGCCAGACUCCAUCGAAGCCAUGCCGGCCCCCUGCCAGGUUAUCAAAGAGGAUGUUAACAAAUGUGUCAGAGAGAAGGGAGCGGAAAGCUGUAAAGAUCUGAUAGAUGCCUUACUGGCCUGUAUAAAAACCCUGUCUGAGGGAUCAUGAUAAAGGAAGUGCACAUUAACAAAACAUCAUUCCUUUCCUGGCUUUUUGCACUGGAGCGAAUCAUCUGAAAAUGUGAAGAUGGGGGUGAAGACGGAGCGUCUUAGCCACAUACUAAGAAAAUGUUAUUGUGAAUGUUACAUCUCGAUUAUGGACUCACCUAUAACUCGCUUUACACCGGAACGUAUUAAUGCACAAAGAAAAAAAGCAACAAUAAAUAUGAUUUAUUGUCAUUUA